rnacentral:lncRNA from 1 species
GCGCAGCAAAGUAGUCUGGGUCCUUCCAGACUAUGGAGCCAUAGGCAGGACUGCCCCUUGAGAGGAAGAGGAGGAAGCAAGAUACAAUAACUGUGGUUUCUGAGAAACUUUGCAAGGAAAUGAAACAAUAACAGAGCAGAAGAUCAACAAUUCCAGGAUGGAUAUGAAAGGCAUCAUCUCUACCUCCUGAGGCUUGCAACACCUUCUCCCAUGUGCUGAAGAAACCCAUGUACAUGUAGGAGGACAC